rnacentral:rRNA from 1 species
UUAUAGACAUAGCCGAGACAAUGGUUAGCCGUAGAAACCCACCAUUCUUAGAGACUGGGUUGAGCACACCCUUGUUGACAGAGGGUACCGGAGGAAUAGGGCUCGACCCCGGAGAAGGAGCCUGAGAAACGGCUAAUACAUCCAAGGAAGGCAGCAGGCGCGCAAAUUACCCAAUCCCGACACGGGGAGGUAGUGACGAUAAAUACUGAUACAGGGCUCUUUUGGGUCUUGUAAUUGGAAUGAGUACAAUUAAAUCCCUUAGCGAG